rnacentral:rRNA from 1 species
UAUCAAAUGAGCUAGGUCGGAUUAGCUAGUUGGUGGGGUAAUGGCUCACCAAGGCGACGAUCCGUAACUGGUCUGAGAGGAUGAUCAGUCACACUGGAACUGAGACACGGUCCAGACUCCUACGGGAGGCAGCAGUGGGGAAUAUUGGACAAUGGGCGAAAGCCUGAUCCAGCCAUGCCGCGUGUGUGAAGAAGGUCUUCGGAUUGUAAAGCACUUUAAGUUGGGAGGAAGGGCAUUAACCUAAUACGUUGGUGUUUUGACGUUACCGACAGAAUAAGCACCGGCUAACUCUGUGCCAGCAGCCGCGGUAAUACAGAGGGUGCAAGCGUUAAUCGGAAUUACUGGGCGUAAAGCGCGCGUAGGUGGUUUGUUAAGUUGGAUGUGAAAGCCCCCGGGCUCAACCUGGGAACUGCAUUCGAAACUGGCAGGCUAGAGUCUUGUAGAGGGGGGUAGAAUUCCAGGUGUAGCGGUGAAAUGCGUAGAGAUCUGGAGGAAUACCGGUGGCGAAGGCGGCCCCCUGGACAAAGACUGACGCUCAGGUGCGAGAGCGUGGGGAGCAAACAGGAUUAGAUACCCUGGUAGUCCACGCCGUAAACGAUGUCGACUUGGAGGUUGUUCCCUUGAGGAGUGGCUUCCGGAGCUAACGCGUUAAGUCGACCGCCUGGGGAGACGCCGC